GCUCAAAUUUGAAAUCCUGCGGGAAUUGUAAUUUGAAGGUUUCGUGGUCUGAGUCGGCCGCGCCCAAGUCCAUUGGAACAUGGCGCCUGGGAGGGUGAGAGCCCCGUAUGGCGCACGCCGACUCUUUGCACCGCGGCUCCGACGAGUCGAGUUGUUUGGGAAUGCAGCUCUAAGUGGGUGGUAAAUUCCAUCUAAAGCUAAAUAUUGGCGAGAGACCGAUAGCGAACAAGUACAGUGAUGGAAAGAUGAAAAGCACUUUGAAAAGAGAGUGAAACAGCACGUGAAAUUGUUGAAAGGGAAGGGCUUGCAAGCAGACACGGUUUUACCGGGCCAGCGUCGAAAAGGGGGGAGGAACAAGAACUCGAGAAUGUGGCGCGCACCUUCGGGCGCGCGUGUUAUAGCUCGUGUUGACGCCUCCAUCCCUUUUCGAGGCCUGCGAUUCUAGGACGCUGGCGUAAUGGUUGCAAGCCGCCCGUCUUGA
rnacentral:rRNA from 1 species